UACAGAGGUCCCAAGCGUUGUUCGGAUUCACUGGGCGUAAAGGGUGCGUAGGCGGUCGGGUAAGUCUGUAGUGAAAUCUCUGGGCUCAACUCAGAGUCUGCUGCAGAAACUGCCGUGCUUGAGUGUGGGAGAGGUGAGUGGAAUUCCCGGUGUAGCGGUGAAAUGCGUGGAUAUCGGGAGGAACACCUGUGGCGAAAGCGGCUCACUGGACCACAACUGACGCUGAGGCGCGAAAGCUAGGGGAGCAAACAGG
rnacentral:rRNA from 1 species